ensembl:lncRNA
CUCAACUCCAAAUACCUGUCCUGUUAACCUUUCAUUUCUGCCCUGAUUUCCGCGGGCUCACGGAGGUCCCUCUCCCUCCAUCCCCAGGUGAAGUGCAAGAACUGCGGAGCCUUUGGGCACCUGGCCAGCAGCAGAAGGUGCCCCAUGAAGUGCUGGGGUGGGGCCCUUGCCCCCCAGCCCUUGGGCUCCAGUAAGAAUGAAAACCUGGAACCCAGGAGGCCUCAGGACUGCCACACCCCAGGGUCCUUCCACACGACUGGCAGCGGGAAGGAACCAGGACAGAGGUGAGGACUCGCGCGGUCAGAAUGAUUGGGGCAACGGAGCCCCGAGGACGGGGAGCCCCUCCCCCUGCUGUCCCCGUGCAGCUGUGUCAGGCACGGACCAGGAGAGAAGUAGGCAAGCGGUGCCCGGGGUUGACCUCAGAGCUCCCUCGAGUCCUCGGGAUUUCCAAGGAGUCGGGCCGGGAAUAUCUAUCUUGGGGUGUUGCACGCGGCAGAGGCGCAGGGAGUCUAAGUGAGAGUAUUUCAUGCUGACGCCACGGCGGGGAAGGGGAUGCUUCCUGGAAGCGGGGGCUGCGCUGAGGUCCCGGAAGGAGCUGCCUUGGCAAAGUCCACAGGGGCUUCGGGGCCUCCGUCGCCCCUAAACCAGGCCGACGACUGGGCUCCGGGGUCUUCUUGGUUCCCAGUCAGUGGUGGCGACCGGGGUCGGGGGCAUCCGACAGUUCCCGUGAUUUGUUCCGCAGGCAAGAAGAGCGGAAAGAGAAAGACCUGCCCCGGAAAUUACCCGGGAGACCCCAGCGGAAGCCGCAGAGCGCCUGCAGCGAACCCGCGGACUCGGGCGCCCACCUGCGGCGCCCCACCAGGCCGUUGCCCGUCCAAACCAAUACGAAGCCAUCUGUCCUGGGCCCUGUCCCCACGUGUCAGCCACCUGCUAGGACAGCUGACAGGCGGUCGUCCUGCCCUACACGGCCCCUCUAUAAAGCCCCUGAAGUGCGUGCUUGUGAACCAGCCCGAAGAUGCAGGGCGGACUUGCCCUGCGAAGAUCCAAAGAGCUCCUGCCGGGACCAGGCUCUCAUUUCCAAGUCGACAGCCGGCUGGCCUGAGGUUUCCUCCCGUGAUGUUCCCCCGUCGGCCAGGAAGACACCUGCGCUGGGUCCUGUGUGUCACCGCCAGGCACAAGCCAAGCAUCCUCCUGUGGACUCAAAGCCCCGCCCACAGCCUGCCCCGGGAACACAUGGCCAGAGCUCCAAAGUCAGCAUCCAGGCACAGGGGAAGAGGUCUCCCCAGGUCCCCAUGCAGCCUUCCCAGAACCCUCCAAAGAAAGCCAGAUUCAACUUCUUCUAACCCCCCUCCCAGGUGGGUCUCAGUGACCUGGUCUGGGGGUUGUCCCGGUCGCAGCUUCCCCCCAGUAUCCAAACAGAUACUUCAAGUGACUGGGAAGAUACCAGUCCUAAUGCCCAGUCUUGAACGCCAGGCUCCACCUGACUCACCUGGUCUGAGCCCCGUUCAGACCUGUGCUGUCCCCUAACCCUGACCACCCAGGCAUGUUCCAGGCCAGCAGGGGCGAGGAUGGGACAUGAGAUGGGACAGGGCGUGGCAGAGCUCCAGGUUUUCCACUGUUCUGUCUCCCUCUGGAGAAGUCUCCACCCGCUGGUCAGAGCCCUCCCAUCUCAGAGGCCUCGGAGAGACACGUUCCCGGUGUUCCACUGAGAGGACCUCCUGGUCUCUUCCCCUGCUGAGAAUGACUGAGUGUGGCCAAUGUCCCACCCUGGAAGUGGCUGAAAGGUGGGAAAAGAGGCAGGAACAGCUGCGUCCCGUGAGUCGGCAUUUCUGCCGGUGGUGCCUGUGCACCUGCUGGGGCUCCAGGUGACACUGUGGGUCACCGGACAGACAUCACCUUUACAUUUUGUACAUUUAAGUCAUGGUGGGAAUGGAGCGUAUGAAAUUGUCAUGGGCAGGCCUUUGUAAAUCAGAUGUUAUUUAAGAAACUAAGUCAACAAGGGGAAGCUAUGUUGUACCCUAACGUGAAUAGAAAGCUAUUAAUUCAUCUGUGUGGGUGGAUAAAUGACUAGUAUUUGGGUAACUGGGGAAAAGGCCUCUCUGUGAUGGUGGAGAAGGCCUGAACCCUCCGGAAGAGUGCCCUCUCCUGGUUAUCGAGAUUUUGACUUUGAAGGAAUUUCAGUGGAAAUUCUCGUUGCCUUGGGGAAAUGGGAAUAUUCUUUUAACCUUGCACAUUUUGUUACUAAAAAUGGUUGCAAUGUUAUGUUUGACUACUUUCUUUCAAUAUGAAUAAAAUUGUCUGAAAUGGAACGUG